rnacentral:rRNA from 1 species
UGGGGAAUUUUGGACAAUGGGCGAAAGCCUGAUCCAGCAAUGCCGCGUGUGUGAAGAAGGCCUUCGGGUUGUAAAGCACUUUUGUCCGGAAGGAAAACGUCGUGGUUAAUACCCGUGGCGGCUGACGGUACCGGAAGAAUAAGCACCGGCUAACUACGUGCCAGCAGCCGCGGUAAUACGUAGGGUGCAAGCGUUAAUCGGAAUUACUGGGCGUAAAGCGUGCGCAGGCGGUCCGCUAAGACAGAUGUGAAAUCCCCGGGCUUAACCUGGGAACUGCAUUUGUGACUGGCGGGCUAGAGUAUGGCAGAGGGGGGUAGAAUUCCACGUGUAGCAGUGAAAUGCGUAGAGAUGUGGAGGAAUACCGAUGGCGAAGGCAGCCCCCUGGGCCAAUACUGACGCUCAUGCACGAAAGCGUGGGGGAGCAAACAGGAUUCAGAUACCCUGGUAGUCCACGCCCUAAACGAUGUCAACUAGUUGUCGGUCUUCAUUGACUUGGUAACGUAGCUAACGCGUGAAGUUGACCGCCUGGGGAGUACGGUCGCAAGAUUAAAACU